UGACGAUAAUGAUGAUGAUGAUGAUCAUCAUGAUCAUGAUGAUGAUGCUCAUUAUCAUCAUCGGCAUCAUCAUCAUCAUCAUCAUCAUCAUCAUCA
rnacentral:pre_miRNA from 1 species